rnacentral:rRNA from 1 species
GAUGAACGCUGGCGGCGUGCCUAACACAUGCAAGUCGAACGAAGCACCUUUUGAGAUUCUUCGGAUGAUUGAUUGGUAACUGAGUGGCGGACGGGUGAGUAACGCGUGGGUAACCUGCCCUGUACAGGGGGAUAACAGCUGGAAACGGCUGCUAAUACCGCAUAAGCGCACAAGGAGACAUCUCCUUGUGUGAAAAACUCCGGUGGUACAGGAUGGGCCCGCGUCUGAUUAGCUGGUUGGCAGGGUAACGGCCUACCAAGGCAACGAUCAGUAGCCGGUCUGAGAGGAUGAACGGCCACAUUGGAACUGAGACACGGUCCAAACUCCUACGGGAGGCAGCAGUGGGGAAUAUUGCACAAUGGGGGAAACCCUGAUGCAGCAACGCCGCGUGAGUGAAGAAGUAUUUCGGUAUGUAAAGCUCUAUCAGCAGGGAAGAUAAUGACGGUACCUGAGGAGGAAGCCACGGCUAACUACGUGCCAGCCGCCGCAGUAA